GGGCCGCUAGCUCAACUGGCAGAGCAGCUGACUCUUAAUCAGCGGGUUGGAGGUUCGAGUCCUCCGCGGCUCACCA
rnacentral:tRNA from 2 species